UCGAGAAUCUUCCGCAAUGGGCGAAAGCCUGACGGAGCGACGCCGCGUGCGGGAUGAAGGCCCUUGGGUUGUAAACCGCUGUCAGGGGGGAUGAAGGCCGCAAGGCUUGACAGAGCCCCAGAGGAAGCACGGGCUAAGUUCGUGCCAGCAGCCGCGGUAAGACGAACUGUGCGAACGUUAUUCGGAAUCACUGGGCUUACAGGGUGCGUAGGCGGCUUGUUAAGUAGGGUGUGAAAUCCCCCGGCCCAAC
rnacentral:rRNA from 1 species